rnacentral:rRNA from 1 species
CCCUUAGAUGUCCUGGGCCGCACGCGCGCUACACUGACAUGUUCAACAAGCCUCCUAGUUCGACAGGAUUUGGGAAAUCUUGGAACGCAUGUCGUGAUAGGGAUAGAUCAUUGCAAUUAUUGAUCUUGAACGAGGAAUUCCUAGUAAACGCGAGUCAUCAGCUCGCAUUGAUUACGUCCCUGCCCUUUGUACACACCGCCCGUCGCACCUACCGAUUGAAUGUUUCGGUGAAGAUUCCGGAUAGGACUUUUUUGAUUUAUUUCAAUUCUGUCUUAAAAGCUAUCUAAACCUCAACAUUUAGAGGAAGGUGAAGUCGUAACA